rnacentral:rRNA from 1 species
UACGUAGGUGGCAAGCGUUGUCCGGAAUUACUGGGCGUAAAGCGUGCGCAGGCGGUUUUGUAAGUCUGAUGUGAAAUCCCCGGGCUCAACCUGGGAAUUGCAUUGGAGACUGCAAGGCUAGAAUCUGGCAGAGGGGGGUAGAAUUCCACGUGUAGCAGUGAAAUGCGUAGAGAUGUGGAGGAACACCGAUGGCGAAGGCAGCCCCCUGGGUCAAGAUUGACGCUCAUGCACGAAAGCGUGGGGAGCAAACAGG